rnacentral:snRNA from 1 species
GACUGUGAGGGCAAUUUGGCUGUGCCAUCGGUCACUCCAUUAACCUCCAGGGUUAAUUCAACUGGGUAAUCUAGCCAGAGUGAACUGGCUGGCUGGGCAGUUGUCCCUGUCUGCCCUCCCUGCUCCUGGUGUUAUCCUUCCCAACAUUCCCUGAUAGAGGAGAACAUUUUUGGUCAAGAGUAUAGGAGCAGCUGUAGUCCCCAGUUACAGCACCCUCUAAACAAGCUCUUAAGGUCCAUUUGUAGGAGAACAUAGGGUAUUCGAACCCAUGACUCCAGACACAUCCAAGCAAAACACUGCAUGUGGACAGUCUGCCCU